rnacentral:lncRNA from 1 species
UCGAUAGAUCUCAUCUUGGUAUAACCUAAAUCCUAUAAUGAAUAUACUACAGCCAACAUAUACCUUAAGGCUCCGAAUAGCUAAGAGAUCGAGUUAUGGUAUAGUCAAACUAUAGCAUCCUCAAGGUGAAUGGCCAAUGCACCUCAGGUCAGAGAACUAAACAUACAACUAUAGCUAUAAACAUGUCAUUGACAAGAAGGUACAUUUCUUUAUGACUAUUUGUAAAUGGUCACACUCAAUACCCUUAUUCUUAACAAGUACCUGUACCUUCGCUCCGAUGUCUCCACACCAUAGAUUCAAGAUUCAUCUAUCUGA